GGAAACUGAGAAUGCUAUUCCCAAUAUCAGUGAGGCUAAACACAUUUCAAGAGAAGACAUACUCAACCAGUGCACCCUGUUUAAACAGGAACAGCUUAAGAGACAGGUGAAAUGCAACCAACUGUGCCAG